AGUAACGGCGAGUGAAGCGGCAACAGCUCAAAUUUGAAAUCUGGCGCAAGCCCGAGUUGUAAUUUGUAGAGGAUGUUUCUGGCGACGCGCCUUCCGAGUUCCCUGGAACGGGACGCCAUAGAGGGUGAGAGCCCCGUACGGUUGGAUGCCUAGCCUCUGUGAAACUCCUUCGACGAGUCGAGUUGUUUGGGA
rnacentral:rRNA from 1 species